GGUUCAGGAUCUGCUCUGAAGGAACCCCUCCAGCACCUGAGCCUUGCUGCCCAAUUCACUGUUCACCAGUCCUUGCGCAGCUCCUGUCCAAGUAACUCCUCUGGCUCCCUGAUUUCUGGUUAAGCUUCUGGCUUGGUGUUUGGAUCUUGAUUUGACCUCUGCUGGCUUCCUGACCUCUGAUUCCUGGCUAACCUUCCAGAGUAUGAAGCAACUUCUGAAGAAAAUAUGCAACUUCUAAUGCAAGACACAGACACUCUUCCACUUGAGACCCUGGAAGAAGUGAGACCCAGAUUCCACAAGCUACCUGAGUAUGCGUCUGUCUCCAUAUAUUAAUUUUAAUGUCAAUACCACACACCUUCCAGAACCCACAUGAAGGAUCUGCAGAAGCACUGGAUGCCCUUGGAAGUUACUUCCUAGCAUUUAUCUGCCCCUUUUCACACUGACAAGCUGGUUGCAACAUAUCCAGCUAUGAUGUACACAGGGAGCAUUAUUCUUACCAGUAUUCCCUUCGCAGCAUUGUUCUGCCUUUUUGCCAGUUGCAUUUUAUCAUUCUGUUCCCAGACGUGCACAUACUACUGGUUCUCUUGAUGUGGAAGAGCUAUUUUUUAUUUAUCGUCUGGCUCCUUCAGUACAUCUGUGACUGAGUCAAGCAGAAGUUGAUUGUUACAGACCAAGAAAACGAGGAUCCCUGAUUAUGAGGCCUAAGUGAGGGACAACAGUUAACAUGGACUUCAAUGGGAUCCAGAUUUCACCCAGAAUGGUUAAGGAGUCUUGCAUCUAGUUUAUGAAUACCAUGUUGUGGAUUUGGACUGAUUGAUCCCACACUGAUGGCAUAAGCAGGUCUGAAGAAGAUUGACCCGAGGUCUCUGAUGCUCAAGUUCCAGUAGUCUUGCCCAUUUGAAGGUCUGAGGGUACUGAGGAAAUGUUGUAAUUUGCUAGUAACAAACAUGUAAGGGGACUUUCAUCCCACUUCAAUGGAGAUUAUUAUAAUUACUUCUGCAGAAUAGAUUGCCAAUUCUUAAAAGAGGAUUUUUUUUUUGGUCUUUUGCUGUAUUGAGUACCAAAGAUUGACCAUGUUUUUCUGGUGCUGGUAGGUUGAAAAGUAACUGGGGUAGAUGUUCUGGCACUUUUUGUUGAAACCUAGAGGUUCCUCAACUCCUUUUAAUUUGUCUUUCAACCUCAGCUUCGUGCUGCUCUCAGUGGAGGUCUUUCCACACAUUUCAUUGGAUUUUAGAAGGGUCAUAAGCUGGUCUCGUGCAUCAAUUCUAUUCUUAUAUUGAGUGUCUUCAGUGAUUCAGGUCUUAUUCUGCUUCUAAGGCCCCUGGCACAAGUUACAUUUAUGGUGUAAUGAAUGUGUUCAUUAUACCAUAAAUAGUAAAUGCUGCAAGUUUGGCUGAUUUAUGGUGCCAUAAAGGGCAAGCCAGCACAAAGAUAUUCCUCAAAUAUGUGGCACAUGGUUGUGGUUUGUUUGCAUACCACCAUAAAUUGAACACAUAGCAUGCCCUGCAUCUCACUACUGACAAGCAGCUGAUUAUCAACAUUGGCAUGGUCAGCAUUAAGUCCCAGUACCAAAAAUGGGCUGGAAGGGGAGCAGGUUGCAAGGUUCCUUGGAGACGGGAAACUGCGUCUCUCUGCCUGCUGGGAACCUGGCAGCCCCUAUGCCCAGCAGCUGUUCUUGCCUUGCCCUGCAGACCCCAGGAUGGCUGCAGAGCUAGGCACUUUAAAAGGCCACGUCUCAGGGAGCUGCAGGGUGCUGUUUGCAUGUGUGAUUUUUU